CCUUCCUUAAAUUGAACUUUUGCCCGUGUGGCCUCAUUUUAUUUUAUUUUUUUUAAGUUUAUUUAAAGAGGCAGGACAAUCCCCUGUAGUCAAACGGUGACCCAGAGGACAGAAGAUCUUUUUUACUUGCAAAAGGUGAUCAUAAUUUUGGAAAAGAAGACACCAGGAAAACCAACCACCUGACCUCAUUUGCAUAUGAAAAGACAACAGUGUAACUGGAACCGGCCUCCUUACGUGGGAGGGCGGAGAGGGGUCGGCGGGCCUGCCAGGUUUGGUCUUCUUACCUGGCCCUGGGGGCUUGCCCGCUCAGUGCUGCGCUGACCCCUGCUCUGCACCCCGCCGGCUGCCCGGCCCUCCUGCCCGCACCGCAGCUGCUUUCCGGGACCCGCUUCCUCCCCCGCAGCUGCGGGGCUCCAAGGCCAGGUCUGCUGGGCGCCCCCUCCUUUCGGGCCCUUUCACACCGCUUCGUGCGGGGCCUGUCGUCUUGGCAGCGCAGAGUCCCCCGGAGGGCCCCGAGACAGUCCCUCUGCACCUCAACUCGCAUAGAGGAAGGCUGGGCGUCGAGUUCCUUCGCCGGACAGGGCUCGCUCCAGAGCCUGGUCAGUCGGCGCGCCCGGGACCUGCCCGGCACCAUUUGCCUCCAGCGCCACCACCUGGCCGGCGCCGGGACCACGUCCUCCCCGCGCGGAGGCGGGGACCCAGAGAUGGAGGUUCGCCCCUCUCCAACGUGGUAAAGGACGAUGACGGAGACUGUCGCUUACUAAUGCAAGUAGUUCCCCUCUGAAAAACGCACUAACACAUUUCCUAGGCAAAAAUUUGAGUUUAAAGAAACUAAAAUGGGAACCAUCCUGUCCCCUCCACGAAAAAUCAGAUCAAUUGUCUUUUUUAUUAAGUGGGCUGGAUCUGAUGUGCUCUGGUCACAUAAAAUACCAAAGCAGGACCAGGUAGGAAAUGCGCUUUUCUCACCCUUUUCCUCUUCCCUCACAUUCUACCCAUGGCCUCUGGGUCUCAAGUGAGAACGCCUUCGUGGCUGCUUGCUGGGUGGGGGUCACCCACCCCUCCCACCACAUCCAGACCACCUGGCCUCCCAGCUUCUGAUGGUCAGGUGUGAGCAGUGAUGCUCCCGGCCCAGCGUCCAGAGGGUUCCAAAAAGUGCAUGACGUCUCAGGCGUGGGCGCACACAUAUGCAUUUCUCUGAAGUCUUACCAGUUGAAGUUUGUGGCAAAACCCGCCAGUCUAAAACUGCGUGAAACUGAGGGUGUCUCAACGCAGUCCUAGCCGACAUCGCAAGGCCCGGAACCCUCUGAAUACCUCUCUUUUUAAAAGUGGGCAUCAUGGGAUAAACAGGGCUCCUCUGCCUCUCACCUCCCCUGUCAUGAUGAACUCUGCCUACAGAUAUCAAAGCAACUGGGCCAACUGACCAUAGACUGAAACUUCUGAAACUGGAGAUGCAACAAGACAUUGGGAGUCCACAACCAGGAAGAGCACCCUCCCCUGACCCUGACUAACAGGCGCCCUUCCCUUGGACUUCCAGCCUGUGGAAGUGUCAGAAAUAAAUUUCUGUUGUAAA